UUGCCUCCAGAAUUUCUCGGGAAAAUAUAUAACAACUGUGCGAUGGUUUCGCUUACUUCAGAAAUCAAAUCAAAUACUUGAUUAUUCAGAGAAAAAGAGCUCAAAAGCAACUCCUCCGGCGGCGGAGUAAUGGGUCGUCUGAAAGCAGGUGAGAGUUUGUAUAAGCCUCCACCAGUCCCAAAAGCAGCAAGGUUCAACCCCAAUUCCAAUUCCAAAACCAAAUCUCCUCCCUCUCGUAGGAGAACAAAAAAACCAAAAUUAAAUCUGUACAAGAGAAAAACGAAACAGAAACAGGAAGAGAAAAACGAAGAGGGGGAUGUUGACGUGGCAAUGACAAAAUCCACUGAGGAUGAGAUGGAAGAGGAGAUUAACAGUAACAACAGCAACAACGACGACGACGUUGUUGUUAAAGUGGCAGUGGUGGCCACCACCGGUGACGUGUCCGGAGAAAAUACGGGCCCACUCUCACUACUCCGGAAGUUUCCAAACAAUUCAUCCUCCAACAACAACAACAACAGCAAUAAUCUCAACCAACUCGCUCCGGCGACGCGUGAACUCUACGCGAUGACGGCGGAGUCGUUGAAGAGGCUGUUGGUUUCGGAGCUUUCGUUGUGGUCCGGGGACGUGGAAACGAUGGUGGCAUCGGCGAACAGGGCUUUCGAAACCUUGGAUUGGCUUCAACCAGACUGCACUGAAUUCUACGACGCCGUUGGGGAUCUCCUCUCUCGUCGCGCUCAACUCUCCUCCUUAGAGACCGAGCUCCGAACCCACCAAAACGAAGAAGAAUCCGACGCCGGCAAUUUUCAAGCUCGAUCGAAAGAAGCGCUGGAAGGGCUGGCUAGAUCCGAAGCCGAGUAUAAGAAAGCCGGAGAGCGGGUUAGUUGUCUGAAGAGUCGGGUUUCGGAGAUCCGAGUGGUGCUGAAAAAGCUCGAGGAGGAAUCGAAGAGGGAAGAGGUGAUGCUUGUUGAUCGGAAAAGAGAAUGGGACCAAUGCAUUGAGUCUCACUUGGCUAUUAAGAAGGAAGAGAAAGAGUUGGCUGAGCAAAUGGAGGAGAAGCAAAAGAUCAUCAAAAAUAUCAAGCGGCUUCGCGAUGAGGCCGAGGCUGGUGUUCAAGGCUCUAUAAAGGCUUUGUAUUCUCUCUGCUAAAUCAAUGUAAUGUUACUCUUAUCUCUCCGAAUUCUGAUAGUAACUUAUUUGAGCAAUGGCUACUUGGCUAGAGUCUACCAACACUGGAGUCCUCUGGUGCCUUUGUUUGAUAAGUACUUAAAUUUCAAAGACCCAAAACUUCCUGAGGAUGCUUGAGGGGUAUUCGCAUGAUUAGAAGAGGAAGUAUCAAUGGGUGCAGGGUGGGUUUGGCCAUCCCUAGUUGUAAGUAGCAACUAGCAACAUGCAGUAGAUGUGAUCUCAGAAAUUGUAGACAAUGUGGUACAGUUUCUAGCAGUUUACAUUUGGAUUUACACCUAUUCAUCUGCAAUGUACUUUGUGCUUUUUCACAGGUUGGUGGUGAUCGAUGGCAACUUGGCUUUAGCAGCUACUACCAUGUUUUUGAUUGCUUUUUUGAUAGAGAGAUGGCAUCUUGUGAUAAUAUCUAUUUUCUGCUUUCUUUUUAUAUAACUCAAAUAACUUGGAUAGUUGGAGAGUAUAGAGGCUUCUCUUUCUCAGGCUUGUACUGGGAGAUGUGCAUAAUGACAAUUUUUUGUAACCCUCUCUUUUGUUAAUGCAAUCUCUGACUGUUAGUUCUGGUUUUCUGCUUUA